AACGAACGCUGGCGGCAUGCCGAACAUAUGCAUGUUGAACGAGACCUUCGGGUCUAGUGGCGCACGGGUGCGUAACGCGUGGGAACCUGCCCUUAGGUUCGGAAUAACUCCCCGAAAGGGGUGCUAAUACCGGAUAAUGUCUUCGGACCAAAGAUUUAUCGCCUUUGGAUGGGCCCGCGUUGGCUUAGCUAGUUGGUAGGGUAAAAGCCUACCAAGGCGACGAUCCAUAGCUGGUCUGAGAGGAUGAUCAGCCACACUGGGACUGAGACACGGCCCAGACUCCUACGGGAAGCAGCAGUGGGGAAUAUUGGACGAUGGGCGAGAGCCUGAUCCAGCAAUGCCGCGUGAGUGAUGAAGGCCUUAGGGUUGUAAAGCUCUUUUACCCGGGAUGAUAAUGACAGUACCGGAAGAAUAAGCUCGGGCUGACUCCGUG
rnacentral:rRNA from 1 species